rnacentral:misc_RNA from 1 species
UACGAAGGGGGCUAGCGUUGUUCGGAAUCACUGGGCGUAAAGCGUGCGUAGGCGGCCAUGCAAGUCAGGGGUGAAAUCCCGGGGCUUAACCCCGGAAUUGCCUUUGAAACUGCAUGGCUGGAGUCCCGGAGAGGGUGGCGGAAUUCCUAGUGUAGGGGUGAAAUCCGUAGAGACUAGGAGGAACACCGGUGGCGAAGGCGGCCACCUGGACGGGUACUGACGCUGAUGCACGAAAGCGUGGGUAGCAAACAGG